GACGAACGCUGGCGGCGUGCUUAACACACGCAAGUCGAACGGAAAGGCCCUGCUUUUGUGGGGUGCUCGAGUGGCGAACGGGUGAGUAACACGUGAGUAACCUGCCCUUGACUUUGGGAUAACUUCAGGAAACUGGGGCUAAUACCGGAUAGGAGCUCCUGCUGCAUGGUGGGGGUUGGAAAGUUUCGGCGGUUGGGGAUGGACUCGCGGCUUAUCAGCCUGUUGGUGGGGUAGUGGCUUACCAAGGCUUUGACGGGUAGCCGGCCUGAGAGGGUGACCGGCCACAUUGGGACUGAUAUACGGCCCAGACUCCUACGGGAGGCAGAAGUGGGGAAUAUUGCACAAUGGGCGGAAGCCUGAUGCAGCAACGCCGCGUGCGGGAUGACGGCCUUCGGGUUGUAAACCGCUUUCGCCUGUGACGAAGCGUGAGUGACGGUAAUGGGUAGAGAAGCACCGGCUAACUACGUG
rnacentral:rRNA from 1 species